AGACAAUAUGGCCGGGCGCGGUGGCUCACGCCUAUAACCCCAACACUUUGGGAGGCCGAGGAGGGUGGAUCACCUGAGGUUGGGAGUUCGAGACCAACCUGAUCAACAUGGAGAAACCCCAUCUCUACUAAAAAUACAAAAUUAGCCGGGAGUGUUGGCGCAUGCCUGUAAUCCCAGCUACUCAGGAGGCUGAGGCAGGAGAAUCACUUGAACCCGGGAGGUGGAGGUUGUGGUGAGCCGAGAUCGCGCCAUUGCACUCCAGUCUGGGCAACAAGAGCGAAACUCCGUCUCAAAAAAAAAAGGACACAAUAUCUUGGCGUUGGAAUGGCCCUUAUGAGUACUAUAUGAGUGACCUUUCUGGCUUCUGGGUUAUUGUUGAAGAUGAAAUCCACUGAGGAGGGAAGUCCGGCACCCUGUGUGCCAGUCCAGAACUGGCCCAUGUGUAGACCCCCUGAAAAUCAUAUGGGCUUGGAUUUGGAUAUUCUCAACAGAAAGGGUUAAAGGCUGAUGGUACCUAAAGCCUGGUACUUGAAUUUUGAUCAAGAUAAGCUGCCUUAAGUUCUCUUCAUUACACAAAUGAUCCUAGGUAAUUGAUAGAUCCUGUGGUUCAACUGGAUUUCUAGAUAGAAGCUGGAUUCAUGUGAUGCCAGAGGAGUAGAAUUUCAAGAGACUGAAACCAGAUCUGAGUUUCACUGUUCCAGUCUGGACCUCUUUGGUGCUGUAAAUCCUGGAUAUACGGUAGAUGAGUACUGCGUUUUUCUUUUAUG
rnacentral:sRNA from 1 species